UUCAGAAAGUCUAUGUUUCUUGAUGACAUAUUGAUUUGCUGCGGUAGGCUAUCUGCGAUGUAAUAUUCCUGUGUCUUAUGGAUCCAUUCCUCUAAAGAAGGACCACCAAGUACAUAAGAAUGAGCCAACCUUUUCCCCACAUUUCCAGCAUGUAGGAAUCCAGCUUGGUCUUCUUUAAUUAUUUCAUUUAAUACAACCUUGAGUCUAUGUUAGAACUGAUGUGAAUAUUUUAUAGUCGACGUUGAGUAACGAAAUCGGCCUAAAGUCUUCCUUGAUGGAGGCCCCCUUGAACAUGAUUGCAUUGAAACGAUGGAUGUUACAUAUGCUGCCCGAGCAGAUCUCCAAGAUACUCCUAUUGAAUCUCCAAGAUACUCCCAUUGACUUUCUCCAAAAACAAGCGUCAC